rnacentral:tRNA from 1 species
UGGGUCGUCGCCAAGUGGUAAGGCAUUAGGUUCUGGUCCUAACAUUCGGGGGUUCGAAUCCCUCCGACCCAA